CCGCUCUAGACGCUAGCAAACCUCUCUAUAUAGAACGCACAAUGGAGUCAGUAGCGCAUUUUUUCACUGUUUUUAAAUUAAGUCCCAAUUUUAUAACCCUUGGAGAUGAUGAGAGCUCACUCCGUUACGCGGCGCUCGGGAUUCGAACUGCCAAACUUUCUGAUCGACAAGCUUAGCAUCUUAGCCACGGAGCAAGCUUUAAACAGAACAGGAUCUGGAAGUUUACACCUUGGAGCUGUGACAACUGCGGAUCUCACAUCUUAAGGCCUUGGGAGGAUGACAAUCGGCAUCCAGUAGAACAAGAAGAAAUGAAAACUCUUGAACCGAAGAACAGAAUUGGUGAUUCUUCAUUUGAAACUGACUUUUUACAGUGGGGAGAAAUCCAUCGAUGAAAAAGUCUAAAAGGGAAAUCAAGACGUUGGAAUAAACCAAUGUUAUCUUUAUGGGCUCA